CCCGUUCCUCCCUCCUCCCCAGUGCCUGACUGCACACAGGGGCUCUGCUUUCCAUAGCCCAGAUUGCUAUGGAUAGCAGAUGCCGACCCAGCUUUUCCCGCUUGUCUUCCACUCAGCAGCUCUAGUUAGCAGAGGUGAAUGUCCUUGAGGAGAACACGUCCUGUGAAAAGCCGGAAAAAGAGCUCCCCGGUACCCCACCCCACCAUCAGAUCACCUGAAGAUCUCUCGCCCUCGUCAAAGCCCUUGUCUUCCAGCCAGGAGAGGAGAUCAGGUUUGGAAUCCAAAAGUCCUUCUUGGAAGAAAAGAGACAGAGAAGAUAUCUGAGACACUUUUGACCACAACAAAUAUUCAGAGAACCCAAACCAGCCUGUCUGAACCCUCCUCUCCUUCCUGCCACAUGAAGGGAUAAGAAGGGUCAAGCCAUUUUAACGUACCACACUGCGGUGGUAGUGAUCACCACUCAGAAGCAGAAGAUUUAAGCUUUGUUCAGACAUUACUUUGCACCUGCCUUCACAUGUCUGAACACACGUACAUGUCUAUGAGUGAUGACUGUUCCUUUGUUCAUUUUAAAAGUCAAUGUGGCUACAGGCUCCUCAAAAUGUAGGAUACAGAUAAGGAGGGUAAUGCUGUGCCUGUGUUCAACAUAAUAUGGCAAUAACUGUAUCUGUUUCCAUAGACAGUAUCUUUGUCCAUAGACUGUACCAGCGCUGAACAUAACACGUGAUUAGGAGGACUAAGACUUUUUAAUUCUUAGGCACUGGUGUGUAGCUGUAGUGAUUUGGAACAGGAAAACUAAGUCAUGUCAGAAUGUGGUUGCCGACUGCCCACUGGGUGUUGAAAUCCCACUGGGAAGGCAGCGAUGGAGAAGAAGCCAGGAGAUCACUUCUUAGUCACAAGGGAAGGGAAGGGAAGCCACAACUUGGCUUCCCUUUCCCUGCUAACUGAGCCUCCCUAAUCCUAAUCCUUACUGAGCAAAGAGAAACCUUUUAAAAGUGGUGAUUGUCUUUCUGAGCAGGGGGAGAGCAACUGGCCCUACCCAUCCCCAGCACAACAUCCCUCCAGUGGCUGUUGCUGGUGUUUAUCUUAUGUUUCUUUUUAGAUUGUGAGCCCUUUGUGGACAGCGAUCCAUCUUUAUUUAUGUAUUGAUAUUUCUCUAUGCAAACCACUUUGGGAACUUUUGUUGAAAAGUGGUACAUAAAUAUUUGUUGUCUUUA